AGAUUGCGAUAAGGAAAUCUCACGAGGUCAGACCUUUUACGUAGAAGUCACCAGGGUGCUAUCAGAGCCCUGCAGAGACUGCCGUCAGACGAACGUGCAUGUGUGAAAGGAGCGGCACACACACAUUCAGAUUGCCUUUGUGCACGUUUGAGGUCUCACCACUUUUCUGUGAGGACAGAGCCACCACCAGAGCCGGGUCGAUCUCACAGGGUAGACCUGCUGCUGACGACAGCUCGUAGACGUUCAUGGCCACCUGGAAACACACGAGGAGAGAGAACAUGAGCUAACGGUGACGUUCAGAGGAUAUUUCAUCUUUACUAGAAAUGUGUUGCACCUUCAUGUCCGUCUCUCGGGGAAUGUGGUCUUUAAAAUCCUCCACUGAGCUGACCAGGAAAGGAAUAUGACAGGACAGCACCUGCAGAGCGUAAGAAAGAGACGCAGCAUCAGGGCUCAGGUCAUGCAUGCUUCAGAUAAACCCAACCUGGUGUGUACGUGUGGUUAGUUUGCUGUGGAAGCUGUCAAACUAAUCCUGUUGCAAACCAAAAGAAGAAACCUUUAGAAGAAGAGGAACUCGCUCUGCUCGUGGAGCUGCAGCAUAUUCAACAGCUGAAUUACUAAUAAAUGCAACAACUGAUCGUGACCUGCUGCGGACCUUAAAAUCAAACUCUGUAAGUGACGAGCAGGUUUAUGUUACUCAAGCAGAAAGUCAAGAGCAGUUCAAUUGUUCAGUCCGUUAACACGUGUCUGACAUCCUGUAAAACGUCCCAGAAUAUUCCCGUACAAGAUGCCGUGCAUUCUCAGCGACCUCUCGUGGUUUGUAGGAGCCCCAAGUCAUCGAACACUACUUCAGUAACAGCAGGCUGUUCCGGCAGUCGCCUCACUUAGUCUGUUGCAGGACACAUGUUGACAUUAGUCAAGCCUCAAAACCUCACAUCCACGGAAAGAUGUUAUGAUGCGCUGAAGGUAGACACGACACGGUGCCGGGACAACCGAGUGAGAUGCACCUCGUCUUUGUUUGGGAGGGAGACGCCUGGCUGAGACCUGCACUGUGCUGCAUAACUCUUUUUGACACCAGAGAACAUAACAAUGUAGUGUGUGAGUUUCUUGAAGAGGGCGGCCAUGUGCUCCGGUUUGUCAAAGCUCGUCCUCAUCUGGGUCAACACCUCCAUGUUUUCUACCACCAGUUUCUACAUGAAGACAAACAUGCAGCAUUAAAACAUGUCUUCACUUCCUGUCCUACAGAAGGUUAUUGCAUCUAGAGGGACAGAGCUCGUGUGUGCAGGACAUGAAGUGUGUGCAGAGCAGAGGGAAGCAGAUGGAGUGUCGGCUCUGGGAGGGAAGCUCCAAGCACUGCUGGAACAUCUUCUCAAACGCACGGCUGUAGAAGCUACAAACACACAGAGCAGGAGAUCGAUGAAAUAAGGGAUAUACACAUACUUCAUACAAUGUGUGAAGUGUGUGUGUCUCACCAGAAAAUGGACAGGUCUGACGUCUCCACCAGCAUCUCCACCAGAGAGUCCACCAUCUUUGUGUGGAAGAUGAUGGUGUUCAUCAUUUUACCGAGCUCCUUGUGAUCGGCGAUACCGAGACUGGCUUUAGACACACUGGUGUAGGCCUGCAGAGGGAGAACAGAUUGUGUGUAACAGUGUAUACAGAGUGUGUACAUUCAUACCUGCACAAGUUCAUUCAGCACCACGGCAUCAAACCCGGACAGGUACUGGACGUAGUAUCGCUGCAUCACAGGACCGUACUUCCUGACGUGAGCUCUGAGCUCCUCCAUGUAGAAGAUCAACUCUGCUAUGUGUCUGCAAAACACACACAACCAUCAACAGACCUGGAACUGAAGCAGCAGCAGCUGCCAGAUGGGACGUAAGCCACGGAUGCACCGAUUGUGUCGCUGUGGGUGGAACAGGUGUAUGUUUGCGUACUUGUCUAUGAAGUCAUCUGUGCUUUUCUUCUGGAUGUUGUCCGCGUGUCGAAGCAGCCAGAUGAUCUCGUCACGGGCAAACGACAACGCCAUGAACACGAACAACGCCUAGCGGGACCAAAAGACGGAGGAAUAGAGAAAUAUGGAGGGAAAUGUCAAAAACUCCCCGAGAUAAAUAAUUCCAAGAUAAAUUACCAGGAGCAGUUGGCAGCAGCCGCUUCCUCAGUCUCUGAACCAAACACGCAAUAUGUUGCAUAUUAAUGCAAUCUGGCCUCGCAAAUAUAUUCUGUUAUACAUUCAUGAGCGGCUCCAUCAGGCCAGAGGAACCUACGUCAAUGCGUCCUGAUGAGAUGAGAAAUGUAUGUACACAUAUUUAAGGUGGUAUUGUACACACGAUCCCACUCCCACAUAACAGAGUCAAAAUAAAGGGACAUUUAAGUUGAAUUUA